AGUUAGCAAAAGCUUUUGCUUAUCACAGUGGCCCAGAAUGACCCUGUUAUACAGCAGGCUGCAAAGCAGCAGUUGGCUCCCAGGCCUCCAGCUAACAGGGUUUGUACGAGGACCUGCCAUUUGCCAGCUUUCCCAGGAACCUUCCCAGGAGCCAGCACACUGCCAGAACACCGCGGCUGUUUCCGUGGAACAUCGGGCGGCUACAGCCUUGGAAUUCAACCUCCGGGUUAUUAAAGCAACAAAUUACCCACCGUGAGGACUGCAGAGUGUGUUCAGAUGGAAAACGGCGUAUUUUUUAUGACAUGAUUUAAUUAGGAGCAGCAUCUCCCCAUCCGCUCAGUUGUCAGAGUGAGGCCGAGAUGAGCAGUUGGCCUCUGCCUCUGGCUCUCUUCCCUGCUGAUGCCGCCUCUUGGAGGAGGAACAAAGUGAAACCACUUUGGGAAACCAAUUCAAGCUGGUGGGAGUAGGCCUGAGGGGGAUCUGCAGCUUCCAAAGGUCUUUGGCUCCCCGUGUGUCACCCAGCUGUGGCAGCGUACCCCAGCACAGAGAGGGGCGGGGCUUUGACACCUGUACCCUACCGUCUGCUCCUUGCCCCGGCUUCCACCAUCUUCUGCAUCGCGGCGAUGGAGAAAACGAAACGAAUCUCAAGGGUCCCUUGGAUGGAAGUGUGUGCGUGCGUCUGGAGGAUGUUUGCAGGGAGGGACAGUGGGAGGCUGAACCCAGAUGGGCCGAGCUCCAUGGGCUGAGGCGUUUCUAAAACUGAGUUGGAAAUGAGAGUUUUUAAAGUCUGAUUUCCAUUUUGGACCAUUUUGGUCCUUGACAUUUCCGUUGUAUCCCGCGGCUCUUUCAACAUUCAAACAGAAACUGUUCUAACAUGUAGAUACGUCUCAUUCUACGUCACACACAUGGGCCUUCCCAUCCUCGACCUCCAGAUUUGGAAAGCAGCAGUUUUCCUAGAGAGUGAUGCGGCUCAGCAUAAGCGCCUGAAUCUGUUGCAAAAGUGCACAUCGGUGUUGGAUCAAAGUUCCGGGCACUUCAUUUGGGAAGAAUUCAUGGAGAAUAUGAGUUUUAAAUAUAAUCUGAAAUUUUUUGACAGAUUUGGGGCUUGCUUUAUGCAUAUUUAAAUUUCUUCCCAAAGAAAAUGAAGGAGUCACAAGUUCUUUCUUCUCACUUAAGGAGAGCACCAGUAGGAACGGGGUCCAUCAAAGGGAAGCCUGUCAGAAUCUCCCUUUCAGUGGGGGAUGCAUGAGGACGGCACAUGCCUGGUUCCCUGACACAGAGCCGAGCUCACCAGAUGCAGCUCUGCCUUCACCAGGGUCUACCUGCUGGGUCACAGACGGCACUUUAUAAAAGGAAGACUCAUACCCGUUUUACGGGCGUGACACUCUGGAUGCCAGAGUGAAAUCCGGCCCCUCCGUGGUCCGCAGUCUGACAUCUGACAUCAGAAGAUGCAGGGUCCACUCCUGGGUCUUCCCUUCAUCACCUAGGAUGAACCCCUCAUUGCUGCCUUAUGCAGACAUGCUUGCCGUUAUCUGUGCAAUCAAAGUCUCGGGUAGGGUCAUGGCGUCUGUGGGUUUCUGCAUGGUGAACACAGUCUGGGGCUCUAGCUCAAUGGGAGAGAGAGUGAUUGCAUGGGCAUGCGAGCACACACAUGCACGUGUGCACACACACAGAGAGACAGAAAGACAGAGAGACUCCUGUCCACAUCACACACAGAGACAGAGAGACACAGACUUCUGUCCAGGUGUACUACAUACUAGUACACACACACACACAUGCAUACACACACACAUACACACACAUGCAUACACACACACAUACACACACAUGCAUACACACACACAUACACACACAUGCAUACACACACGCAGAGACUGACUCCUAUCCAGUUGUACUGCGUGUCAGUCAACUACACAUGAUCUGAACUGUGUCACUCUCCGGUGUCUCUGGGUGGCCGCUCAAGACUCCGCUAAGAUCAGCCUAUUUCUCCAUCCAGCCCCCACUUUGUUGCAGGUUUCGUGGAAAGGAUACAUCAAGUCAUAGUAGGAUUUCAGAGAUCGGUAUGUGAAAGGUAAAACUCGGCACUAAAACCUGCUUGUGGUCCGAGUGCCUCCUGCACCAUUUACCUGCCUCGGCGGGAAAGGUGGGCUUUGCGCAGCUGGGGGAAGAGCCUUCUGAUGGUUGCUGCCCGUGUGGAAUGCUGUGUGCCGUUCCCUGGCAGGAAGUUCCUGCUGCGUGCUCUGUAUCUAAACGGCACCUUCUCUGCAGCUGAGCAAGACGUGAACUUUAUCACUGAUGGCCACCGUCCAGGCCUCCAGUGCAAGCCGUCAGAGCCUCGCUGUACAGGCCUGCCCUGGUCUGAGGAGGGGGGGCUGAAAGCCCACACCCAUCAACUCUCUUGGAAAGCAUUUCUAACAGUUCACUCUGCUUGCUACAGGCCUUGCACGUCCUGAAACCUGUUAGCAUUUGAAGUUUGUAUAUUAUGUCGUUUUCAUUAUUUAGGCUUUAUAUAAAUAAUGUGUAUACACCAUGUGUCUGGGGGUAACCACGGAGGUCAGAGGACAGUGUCGGAUCCCCUGGAGCUGGAGCUACAACAGGUCUUCUGCCACCCUCUGUGGGUGCUGGGGAACAAACUCGAGCCCCCUGGAAAAGAGGUAAGGGGGGCUCUUGAGCACUGAUCCCUGAAGUCACACUAGCCUUUAACAGGAAAUCACAGUGACGUUUGGUUGCCACCGCUCCCGUUUAGGCUGUGAGCAAUCUGGUGUCUAGGAUUUAGGCAAUCGUUAGAUUCCCCAGUAGCAAGAACAGCGCCUGGCAUCCGGUAGGCUCUCAACAAACACGGUCAAAAAUUCAAUGAAUCACUGGAGGAAAGGGGGCGUGAUAAAUCUAAAAUAAUACCUACUGCUGGUGCUGUUAUAUUUAGACGCUCUCAUUCAGAUGAAUUGAGUGGGUGCUAUCAAAGGGGUUUGCUGUUAGCCUGAAGGGACUAAAGUUUAAAGGACUUUUGGAGGCCGCUUAGACCAGGGACUUGCAAACUGUGAUUGACAUGUCUAACAUGAGCUACUACUGCCCGCGUCUGGAGAUGAAGCUACAUCAGAGUACAACCCUGUGAAGCCUUUGCACUACAGUUAUUAAUGGAGGAGAGGUGACUGCAAGGCCCCUGUUAUUGUUUAGAUAUGAAAUGUCCUACAUGGUGAACACAGUGUUUGGACUUGGUCCCUAGUUGGUGGUGGCACUGUUUUGGGAGGCUGCAGAAUCAUUAGGUGGCAGGAGCUAGCUGGAGGAACUAGCCGGGGACCUGGACUCAAGGUUGGUAGCUGGCCCCACCCCCCACACUCCCACUACCACAGCCACAGAGCUGACCCUGCCUCCACGCUUUUCCCACCUUGGCGGACCACGUCCUCUGAAUCGUGAUCUAGAAUGUAUUUCCUAAGUUGUGUCUGUCCGAUGCUUUAUCACGGCGAUGAGCAAAGCAGCUACACAACCUACAGAACUCCGUACUCCGCCUUUCACUGAAGAGGCUGGCUGCCCGGACUUGGAAUGCCCCCUCCCCAGGCACAGAAGGCAACUGAGGCUGUGGAUGGGAAAUGGCUUGCUCAGGUUCAUUACCACACGUGGUGGGGGAUGUCCUUCUGUAAGUAUGUUUCUCUUUUUGGUUGAUGAAUAAAACACUGAUUGGCCAUUGA